UACGUAGGGUGCAAGCGUUAAUCGGAAUUACUGGGCGUAAAGCGUGCGCAGGCGGUGAUGUAAGACAGUUGUGAAAUCCCCGGGCUCAACCUGGGAACUGCAUCUGUGACUGCAUCGCUGGAGUGCGGCAGAGGGGGAUGGAAUUCCGCGUGUAGCAGUGAAAUGCGUAGAUAUGCGGAGGAACACCGAUGGCGAAGGCAAUCCCCUGGGCCUGCACUGACGCUCAUGCACGAAGCGUGGGGAGCAAACAG
rnacentral:rRNA from 1 species